GACGAACGCUGGCGGCGUGCUUAACACAUGCAAGUCGAACGGAAAGGCCCUGCUUUUGUGGGGUGCUCGAGUGGCGAACGGGUGAGUAACACGUGAGUAACCUGCCCUUGACUUUGGGAUAACUUCAGGAAACUGGGGCUAAUACCGGAUAGGAGCUCUUGCUGCAUGGUGGGGGUUGGAUAGUUUCGGCGGUUGGGGAUGGACUCGCGGCUUAUCAGCUUGUUGGUGGGGUAGUGGCUUACCAAGGCUUUGACGGGUAGCAGGCCUGGGAGGGUAACCGGCCCCAUUAGGACUGAGAUACGGCCCGGACUCGAACGGGAGGCAGCGGUGGGGAAUAGUGCACAGUGGGCGGGAGCCUGAUGCAGCACCGCCGCGUGCGGGAUGACGGCCUGCGGGUUGUGAACCGCUUUCGCUUGUGACGAAGCGAGAGUGACGGUAAUGGGUAAAGAAGCACCGGCUAACUACGUG
rnacentral:rRNA from 1 species